rnacentral:lncRNA from 1 species
AUGUGCACUUGAAUUUGACAGUAUCUUUGGAUUUCAAAUUUGCAGUUUAGGAACUGAAAUGCCUCUUGAAAGGAUCUAAAUUUUAUUGGCUUCAUAUGCUCCGUUUGGACAUAAAAUAUGCAUGAAGGUUUUUAUCCACCCUUCAUGUUUAGGCUCCAAAAGAUCUAUCUCCUAGUUGCCUUUUUCUGGUGUUUCUGGAACAACAUUUAUCCACAAUCUGGAAUUGGGAAUCUUUCUUUCAUUAAGUGCUUCAUAUUCGGCAAAGAGCGCAUUAGUGCUUUCAUUAUGUCAUGCAUUAUCGCUAUUGAAACUCCCGCCUUUAAGCUUCCAUGUGACAAAAUUAACCUUCUUAACCUGUUGAAUCUCGAUAUACUCUGCUGCAAUAGGGGCACUGUCCCAAGCUAAGACAUCAGUUUGGGCUCCAAUUGUAGACAAAAAUUGCUGUUCAAAAUGAAUGGUAGGGAGGAAGAUUUAUGUUGGUUGGCUUCAAACUCUCCAAGUUGGAUUGGUUUCAAACUCUUGGUUUGGUUGGCUUCAACUUCUUUUUGGAUUGGAAUUCAAAGUCCUUGUUGGAUUUAAUUCACCCUUUGCCGAUAAAAGGGACUACAAGUCUCAGAUAUAGGAGUAUGAGAUUAGAAGGCGUACGGAUUUAGUUUAUUGGUUUAUGUUUUUAUUUCUCUCUUUUCUGUUUUGAGAGAGGAAAUCUGGAUGAUCGGUUUCUCCAUAAUAGUGAAAUCUCUGUCACCCGAGGACGUAGGCACUCUUGCCGAGCGCUCGUUAAAUCAUUGUGUUAGUGUCGUGAGUUAUCUUUGAUUGUGUGUGACUUGGUGUGGAUCGAAUUUUCUGCCACAACAAUUGUAUCAGAGCCCAGGUCGAAUUCGGACCUCCGUAUAAGUGCUCUAAACCGAUUCUCGAUCACAUCCAUCGUGUUCGCUCGUCGAGGACCGAAGCACCAGAAGCAAAAAACGUCACAUAUGGACCUCAACACCGCGCCCACACGCGCCCAACAUGUCGGCGCGUCAAGACUAGCACAUCUUCCAACACGCGUCAGUUUUCACGCGGUACAGGCAAAAAACUUCCUUCCCUUACGCGCCACACGUGCGCCUGCUUGCCACGCGGCGCCCAGUCAUCAGGCCCAGUCAGCGUUGUCAGCUCCUGCGUCAGCGGUCCAGUCACAGCGAAUUUCUAGGGAAUAUUCCUUCGGUAAAUACAGUUUCAUCCUGAAUUUUUGGUUAAUACUUUUGGCCUGAAAGGUUGGUAAAAAUUACAUUUUGCGUCCCUAAAGUUUGGGGUAAAUACAUUUUGGUCCCCCCAGUGAACUUGUGGAAAAUAUAGUUUGGUUCCCGAACUUUCAGAAAAUUAUAAUUUGAGUCCUAAAAUUUUCUGAAAUUACAUUUUGGUCCAUGGAUAUCGAAAUUACAAUUUGGUCCCUGCUAUGUUCUGAAAAAAUUUAAGGUUUGACCUCAGAUUUUGGAUUAGACAUAAUUGGUCCCCAGAUUUGGGAUUUUUGAUAAAUUGGCCCUAGAAGUUCUGAUUUUCAGUUUAGCCCUUUUAUUUUUCCUGCAUCCGGACUCAUCCGUAUGGUAGAAUUUGUUAUUUUAAUUUCAUAUAUCAGUUUGGGAGAGGUUAAAAAAUGUUUUGAUGGCCCAGAAGAAUAACCACUAGCAGUUCCGGUAACUCUAGGCAUAGGACGACGAUGUCAUAUAUGCCCAAAUUUGGAAGUGGAAAAUUGAUGGACAAAAUAACUUCGCAUGUGGCAUUGCGAAGUUUUGGAUGUUUCUCAUUCACAGGAUUGGAUAUUACUCUGGAGGCUAAAGUCAGAUGAACAUAUCAGAGAAGGAUGGGCAAAGCUUAAUCGCCCAAGCUUGCGUACUAUCAGACUUGUCUUGCCCAAAGACAGAAGUAUUGGCGCGUUAUGAAAGAGGACAUCCGCAGAUAGAAGGAGUAUUUCGGACAAACUCGAGAAACAAGUACAUGACCAAGAGUGUUGAGAACCGGGCUCUAUCUGAAAAAGAAACCUUCCGCUUUCCAAUACAAGCAAGGUCGUCACCAUGACAUGAGCAUCGAAUAGUUCAAUAAAAAUUUGGCCUGAUCUGCACAAAUCUGGAGUUUAAUUGAUGAUGAAGAUAAGGCUUCUUUUUGUUAUUAAAUUCCUUGCCUGGAAACUUAUGAGCAUUUGACAACUACCUUGCUGUAUGGUAAAGAUGAAAUUAAAUUUAAUGACGUUUCUAAUGCCUUGAUGAUAAUGAGGUAAGAAAGAAAGAUCAGUAUGACUCACAGGGAAUCAGUCAGAUGCAUUUACAGUAAGGGGUAGGACGAGUACCCGCCAGAAAGCAAAGGGAGGUGAAAAUUCUCGCCUCAAAUCGAGAGAAAAAUCAUCUGAUAGGGCGACAGCUUGCAAAAGAUGAGGGUGCCUAUUUAUCGAAAGGCCAUGGAAGCUAAUUGUCCGAGCAAGGAAAGAGGAACAAAGCAAAUGUGGCACAGAACAAAAAGAAGAUGAAGAUUUGGAUGCCAGUUUUGACAGUUUCAUCAUCCACUAAUCAAUAUGCGAGGUGGAUUCUGGAUUCGGGAUGUUCCUAUCCACAUGAGUCCUUACCGCGAUUUGUUUUCGAGCUUGAGGAGUUCGACGGUGGUGUUGUUCUGAUGGUAAUACAAUGCCUGCCAAAUAAGAGGGAUAGGCACGAUCCGACGAAGCUGGUUCAAUGGAACUAUCAGAAAGUUUGUGACGAUGUUCGGUAGUACCGGACUUGGAAGGAAAAAUCGUAUCUCUCUGGGAACCCUUAGACCAAAAAGGUUAUAGGGUCACAUAUGGAAGAGGUUAUUCUGGAAAGGUGUUCGAGGGGCGAUGGUUUCUAUGAAGGGCCACUCGAAAGGGAAGAGUUUAGUACUUCCAUCGAUUGGAGUACUGUCACAGGGAGAGUUGCCGUUUCCAACAGUUCAGAUGGAUCAGAU